UAAUUCCAGCUCCAAUAGCGUAUAUUAAAGUUGUUGCGGUUAAAAAGCUCGUAGUUGGAUUUCAGUUCUGGACUGACGGUUCACCGCCCGGUGCACAAGCCUGUCACGCUCCGAACAGCCACAAAAGCCCGCUGGCUCGCACGGGGUGCUCUUCAUCGAGUGUCCCGAGCCGUGGCCGGCAGAGUUUACUUUGAAAAAAUUAGAGUGCUCAAAGCAGGCUACAUUUACGGCCUGAAUGCCUAAGUUGCAUGGAAUAAUGGAAUAGGACCUCGGUUCUAUUUUGUCGGUUUUCUGAACCCGAGGUAAUGACUAAUAGGAACAGGCGGGGGCAUUCGUAUUGCGACGCUAGAGGUGAAAUUCUUGGACCGUCGCAAGAUGCACGAACUACUGCGAAAGCAUUUGCCAAGGAUGUUUUCAUUAAUCAAGAACGAAA
rnacentral:rRNA from 1 species